rnacentral:rRNA from 1 species
CCUACGGGGGGCAGCAGUCGAGAAUCAUUCACAAUGGGGGAAACCCUGAUGGUGCGACGCCGCGUGGGGGAAUGAAGGUCUUCGGAUUGUAAACCCCUGUCAUGUGGGAGCAAAUUAAAAAGAUAGUACCACAAGAGGAAGAGACGCCUAACUCUGUGCCAGCAGCCGCGGUAAUACAGAGGUCUCAAGCGUUGUUCGGAAUCACUGGGCGUAAGGCGUGCGUAGGCUGUUUCGUAAGUCGUGUGUGAAAGGCGCGGGCUCAACCCGCGGACGGCACAUGAUACUGCGAGACUAGAGUAAUGGAGGGGGAACCGGAAUUCUCGGUGUAGCAGUGAAAUGCGUAGAUAUCGAGAGGAACACUCGUGGCGAAGGCGGGUUCCUGGACAUUAACUGACGCUGAGGCACGAAGGCCAGGGGAGCGAAAGGGAUUAGAUACCCUGGUAGUC